UGAGGAAUAUUGCGCAAUGGGGGAAACCCUGACGCAGCGACGCCGCGUGAGUGAGGAAGGUUUUCGGACCGUAAAGCUCUGUCGAGCGGGAAGAAAUGUAUCGUGGCUAAUAUCCAUGAUAUUUGACGGUACCGCUAAAGGAAGCACCGGCUAACUCCGUGCCAGCAGCCGCGGUAAUACGGGGGGUGCAAGCGUUGUUCGGAAUCAUUGGGCGUAAAGAGCGUGUAGGCGGCUUGAUAAGUCAGAUGUGAAAGCCCUAGGCUCAACCUGGGAAGUGCAUUUGAAACUGUCAUGCUUGAGUAGGGGAGAGGGAAUUGGAAUUCCUGGUGUAGAGGUGAAAUUCGUAGAUAUCAGGAGGAACACCGGUGGCGAAGGCGACUUCCUGGCCCUAUACUGACGCUGAGACGCGAGAGCGUGGGUAGCAAACA
rnacentral:rRNA from 1 species